rnacentral:tRNA from 1 species
GAGAGAGGCUGGCAGCAAUGAGGACUGCUAAUCCCCAUGACCUUGGUUGGACUCCUAGGCUCACUCG